rnacentral:rRNA from 1 species
CACGUAGGGCGUGAGCGUUGUCCGGAAUUAUUGGGCGUAAAGAGCUCGUAGGCGGCCUGUUGCGUCCGCUGUGAAAGCCCGGGGCUUAACCCCGGGUCUGUAGUGGAUACGGGCAGGCUAGAGGUAGGUAGGGGAGAAUGGAAUUCCCGGUGUAGCGGUGAAAUGCGCAGAUAUCGGGAGGAACACCGGUGGCGAAGGCGGUUCUCUGGGCCUUACCUGACGCUGAGGAGCGAAAGCGUGGGGAGCGAACAGG